GCCCCGGUAGCUCAAUCUGGUAGAGCUCACGGCUGUUAACCGUGUGGUUGAGGGUUCAAAUCCCUCCUGGGGCG
rnacentral:tRNA from 1 species